UUUAAUGGAUGAAAGAAAAGCGCGGACGGGAUUACGCGUGUUAGGUUCAGGUUUGGUGGCGGCAAGACGGUAAAAAGGACCAAAGAAAACUAGGACGAAAAGCCCAGGGAAAUGAAAGAACGUUAUAUAAAUAGAUGGAUUGGUAUAUUUGCCCGGCAGCAUCCUUCCUAAUGUUCCUAUUAAAGAUUGACUGCUGAAUAAUGCAGGAUGAAUAAUCCUGCAUUUAUCAUUUGGAAAAGCAGUAUAUAAUAACUUCAAGAGCGGCCUGGCAGGCAGGCCACCUCAAGCCUUUUGAUGCUGGAGAUUCUUCUACUGCAUCCCAUAGUAAAGUGCCAGAAAAAUCAGAGGAUCCAGGCAGUUGAGAUGAGUAUAAAGAUUUAUUGCAAGCUUAAGCUCUACACAAGAAUCUGAACUACUAAUGGUCCAAGCAAAUUGGCAGUAGAUAAGAGUCAAAGGAAUUAAAGGCUAGCCUAGAACUGUACAUGCUAUCAACUGGAACAGGGAGGCAAUAUGUUGGAAGACACUUUAUCAAACUUCUGCUUUUUCUCUGUUUACUCCCUUGGAAAUUUACUGUCUUAUAUUUGGUAUCUGUUUUCUCUGCUUACUCAGCAGGAAGUCACCAACAAUGGGCUUUCAGCUAAGAACAACUUUUGCAGCAAUAGCGACUGAAGGGAUGAUUUUUAUUCCUUUCUGCUGAUCAUUCAGUCUCUCAAAGGAUUCAGCAUUUCUUGUCAUCCUUUUCCUUCUACCGGCAAACUCCUGUUAGUUUUCUGUGUUUACUUUGUCAGCAUAGCAAUGGCUUUACUCUCUAGCAAGUAUGUUUGAAGUUAUAAUUGAAGUUUGAAUUCAUUUGGCAAAUAUCUGACACAGCCCACAUUCAAUAGGAGAAAUUGGUUUUUUGUUAGCAACCAGCUCAAACAAAAUAUGUUAAGGAAAUGGGGUUGCUAAUGCUUCAGAUGUGUGCCAUUUUAGCACAUAAAGCCACCUGAAAUGCAUAUACAUAUUAGCUGAUUCAUGCUCAUUUCUCAAGUCUAAAUGAAGUUUGAAUGCCAGCAAAGACAAUAGUUUCAUUAAGUGUUGGAUUGAAAAAGAUAGUGGAGUGCUACAUAAAGGUGUCUGCGUCAUUUGCACUAUUCUCCAGUCUUCACGUGCAUUGGAAGAUGUUCUAUAUGAAAAAGAAAUACAUUAGAAGUACAAAGCGGACUUGAUCAGGAUAAAGAAAAGAACUUCGAGAAAAGAGAAGAGAGUAUGAGAAGACACAUCCUAGAACUUUCUUUGAGGAUUUUAAAGGCUGCAAAAAGAAGACUAUGAAAUUGAUUUAUUUGACCAAGUUUAAAAUAAUGAGUUGGUUUGAUCGAUCUUUAAUGUUUUUUUAUUAGGACUGGAUGCCAAUUCAUGGUUAUUUCUGGUAACGUUUAAUUGUUGUUUGAGUGGGAUUGAAUUUUGAUUAUUUGAAGAGAGGAUAUGGGGAAGUUUGUUUAAAGGGAAAGGAAGGAUUCAGGCUGAAUUUAAUAAAUAAUUUGUAAUAUUUAUGUUGUUUCCGAUAACUUUCACUGGAUGUUGUUUAAUAGGGAGAGAAAUAUAUGGGUUUAUAAAAACGGGUCAGAUAUGGAAUGAAUGGAAGUUUGAUUUUAAUUUAAGAGUUAGUGAUAACUUCUUAAUCUUGAUUACACUUGCUUGGGAUGAAGAAUUUUUCUGUAUUUUUUUCUUUUUUAAUAUAUUACUUUAUUCUGUAGAUGUAUAAAUUUUACUUGUAUGAUAUAAUCUUUAAAUAAUUAUUGGAAAAAAUAAGAUGUUGUUCUAUUACCAGUAUUGGAGAAAAGAUUACAUUAAAAUGGUAGGUACCUUUC